rnacentral:rRNA from 1 species
AGUGAACGCUGGCGGUAGGCCUAACACAUGCAAGUCGAACGGCAGCACAGUAAGAGCUUGCUCUUACGGGUGGCGAGUGGCGGACGGGUGAGGAAUACAUCGGAAUCUACUUUGUCGUGGGGGAUAACGUAGGGAAACUGACGCUAAUACCGCAUACGACCUACGGGUGAAAGCAGGGGAUCUUCGGACCUUUCGCGAUUGAAUGAGCCGAUGUCGGAUUAGCUAGUUGGCGGGGUAAAGGCCCACCAAGGCGACGAUCCGUAGCUGGUCUGAGAGGAUGAUCAGCCACACUGGAACUGAGACACGGUCCAGACUCCUACGGGAGGCAGCAGUGGGGAAUAUUGGACAAUGGGCGCAAGCCUGAUCCAGCCAUACCGCGUGGGUGAAGAAGGCCUUCGGGUUGUAAAGCCCUUUUGUUGGGAAAGAACAGCAGCAGGUUAAUCCCCCGCUGUUCUGACGGUACCCAAAGAAUAAGCACCGGCUAACUUCGUG